GGAGAGGUGGCCGAGUGGCCGAAGGCAACGGUUUGCUAAACCGUCGUAGGGACCAAAAUCUCUACCGAGGGUUCAAAUCCCUCCCUCUCCGCCA
rnacentral:tRNA from 2 species